GAUGAAGAACGUAGCGAAAUGCGAUAAGUAAUGUGAAUUGCAGAAUUCAGUGAAUCAUCGAAUCUUUGAACGCACAUUGCGCCCCUCGGUAUUCCGAGGGGCAUGCCUGUUCGAGCGUCAUUAUAACCCUUCAAGCUCAGCUUGGUGUUGGGGCCUGCUGUAACUGGUAGCCCUUAAAAUCAGUGGCUGUGCUAUUAGGCUCUAAGCGUAGUAAUUCUUCUCGCUAUAGUGUGUAGUGAGCGCUUGCCAGAACCCCAAACUUUUAUAUGAUUGACCUCGGAUCAGGUAGGGAUACCCGCUGAACUAAAGCAUAUCAAUAAGCGGAGGA
rnacentral:misc_RNA from 1 species